rnacentral:sRNA from 2 species
AGACCAUAUGCCUGACGGUUGUUACUUCGACGGGGAUGCAGGAAACGGGUGGUAAGGCGCAGCAUAGGAAAAUUUCGUAGUUGUUCCUUUCCAAGCCAGUGCAAUGGCGACUGUGAUGACAUCUGACCUCCUGGCAACAGACGGGUAACACAGCCAAAGCGACCUACCUGGUGGUGAGCUUGACAGGUGUCGCCCGUCUCACCGUCUUCCAGGAUUCCGAUGGCCACGCAUCAGCUCUGUUGCACGUUCGAGCUCCUGGAUUUGAGGAUGCUCCUGUAUUCUGUAUGCCCCAUUGUUCCCACUUAGCGAUUGAUGCCAGGGAUUGAGCAAAGAUGACAUUCUUUCUUUCCUAUCUGUUGAUUUGGUUGUUUGAUCUUUCUGGCUGAUGUGGACCAAGUUGAUAUUUACCUAUAGCUUUUCUUUUCUUGCUACUCUCUCGAUUCCUUCAGCGAUUCCUUGUCUCCAUUUUCUAUAUACUAGAGUCCUUAAUCAGC